AUAGAUACCCUGGUAGUCCACGCCGUAAACGAUGAGUGCUAAGUGUUAGAGGGUUUCCGCCCUUUAGUGCUGCAGCUAACGCAUUAAGCACUCCGCCUGGGGAGUACGGCCGCAAGGCUGAAACUCAAAGGAAUUGACGGGGGCCCGCACAAGCGAUGGAGCAUGUGGUUUAAUUCGAAGCAACGCGAAGAACCUUACCAGGUCUUGACAUCCUCUGCCAACCCUAGAGAUAGGGUGUUCCCCUUCGGGGGACAGAGUGACAGGUGGUGCAUGGUUGUCGUCAGCUCGUGUCGUGAGAUGUUGGGUUAAGUCCCGCAACGAGCGCAACCCUUGAUCUUAGUUGCCAGCAUUUAGUUGGGCACUCUAAGGUGACUGCCGGUGACAAACCGGAGGAAGGUGGGGAUGACGUCAAAUCAUCAUGCCCCUUAUGACCUGGGCUACACACGUGCUACAAUGGAUGGUACAAAGAGCUGCGAACCCGCGAGGGUAAGCCAAUCUCAUAAAGCCAUUCUCAGUUCGGAUUGUAGG
rnacentral:rRNA from 1 species